GACGAACGCUGGCGGCGUGCCUAAUACAUGCAAGUCGAGCGGAUCUUGUCCUUCUGGACAAGGUUAGCGGCGGACGGGUGAGUAACACGUAGGUAACCUGCCUGUAAGAUCGGGAUAACUAUCGGAAACGAUAGCUAAGACCGGCUAAUUGAUUUCUCCGCAUGGAGGGAUUAUGGAACACGGUGCAAGCUGUGGCUUACAGAUGGACCUGCGGCGCAUUAGCUAGUUGGUGGGGUAACGGCCCACCAAGGCGACGAUGCGUAGCCGACACUGAGAGGGUGAUCGGCCACACUGGGACUGAGACACGGCCCAGACUCCUACGGGAGGCAGCAGUAGGGAAUCUUCCGCAAUGGACGAAAGUCUGACGGAGCAACGCCGCGUGAGUGAUGAAGGUUUUCGGAUCGUAAAGCUCUGUUGCCAGGGAAGAACGGCCAGGAGAGUAACUGCUCUUGGAAUGACGGUACCUGAGAAGAAAGCCCCGGCUAACUAUGUGCCAGCCGCCGCAGUAAAAC
rnacentral:rRNA from 1 species